CCCGCGCCCGGGGCUAUCGGUACUGACCCAAAUCCGCCCAGAUCUGCAGAGAUCCCAUCCCCUCUCCUCCCAGCUGAAGGCAGCACUUCCUCAAGACGUCAAAACCAGAUCUGAGCCCGUUCACAGCUCGUGAAAAUACUUUGUACUUCCUCUUGCUGUUUUGAGGGUUAAAUAAGGUUAGAAGUUGCAAGAGUGGUGGAGCAGCGCUUGGUCUCCCCCUUCCCUAAAAGACAAGUAUGAAGAACAGUCACAUGGAAAACUGGAACCAGGAGAGAGAACUGAACCUCAGAUUCUCAGCAGCUUAAUGUUCUCUUAUUUUUCUGGGGCAUGCCUUCUGACUGCUGUGUAAUGGGCAUGUCUUUAGCUGGAUGCUUUUAUAAAAGAAGAGGCAGCUGUCACCGAUCAUCUGGAAAUAUUCUGACUCCAUUAGUGCAUGUUAUGUGUAUGCACUCAGAUUGUCUGCACUGAAUGCAUCAAGGACAGAAGAAUAUUUUGAUUCUUGAUACAGAUAGUAAUUAGGAGCUAGAAAAGUCCAACUUUUAAAUCCUGCAAAACAAAGGGACCGUUAUAUAUUGAUGAAAUGAACUGUAGAACAUCUACAUAGCUUUAGCAUCACAUACUGCGCUAAAGACUGAAGUUGAACAGGCUGUAGUGGCAUGGCAGGCAAGUGACACAUUUCAGAUUCUCAGCUUUGCACAAUCAUGUUAGAGACCAGGAAAUAAUUGUUUAACUGGCUACUUUUAUAUUAUCCAAGACAACAGUAGCUAUCUGUGCUAAACUGUUAUGCUAGUGGUGGCAUGAGACAAAUCAAUUUUGAGGCACAUCGGUAGGUUUCAGAUUCCUCAAUGAAGUCACCUCUUACUCCUUGGACUUUGUGAGGGAUCUCAUAUAGUGCCCAAGUUUUGUCUUUGAAGAAGUGCAGGACUCCCAUUAAAAUUCUGUCUCAUGGCUACCAGCCCCAUCCCAGUGUUUCAAACACCUUAAGCUUUCUCAGAUGAAAGAAUGCGCUUGCAUUUACACAUGUGAAUUGUGCCUCUAAAUGUAGGUAUACAAACACCUGCAUGUUAUUAGAUGUUAAUUAGGUAUCUGUUCUCCCAUUAGUCAGGAGUAGGGUCCAGGCCUGAUGCUUUCAUACACUUGUCUUGCAUAUCAUGAGAAACAGGUAGGUGCCUACGGUCAGUUCCCUGGUGAGCCACACAAUGGACCAUCCACAAAGAGGCUGUGUUAUCACAGAUCAAAGCUACCCAGGCUCUGUUGACACAGGUCCUGUUCCACAGGUAGGGUAAGCAGAUGUAUUCAGGGCUUCUUAAGGUGCACUUGGGUAUCAUGCCUUGUUUUCUACUGCUCUUCAAAAGCAUCAGAUCUCUUGUAGGUCCUUGUGACCUAUCUCAGGUAACUCAGAAUGCCCAUUGCUAUGCAAAUGAAUGUGUCUUAACUACAGUAGAACCUUAGACACCUAGCUGAAGACACCUUCAUACAGACAUCUAAAAUUUAAGAGCCUGAAUCCCACACUGAAUCUCAUCCAAACCAGUCUGCAAUCUCAAAUGUCAGG